AUGUGUCCUUUCAUGUGUUUGCUUCAGCAGGACAUCCUCUCCCCUGUGUCUGCUUCAGCUAAACAUCCCUUCACGUGUUUGGACCAGCAAAACACCAUACAACUGACUUUCCAAAGAGCGCUUAAGUUCCCACUUCACUACAGUCCUUGUGGAAACGUCCCAGCUCCCAUAAAGAAAUCCAUCCCUCAAGCCUCUGCAUUCCAGAAACUGCUCCCUGCCUUUCCUCCUUGUGUAAUGAUUCUUUGAAGACGCGAUCCACAUGACCAUAUCCGGAGGCCAGCCUACCCCACCAAAAUGAAGUUAUAUAUAUUUUUUUUAGUUCCUAUUUGAAUGGUUCUGAGAAAUAACUGUGUUGGUCUGGUGGUCCUCACAAGUUCACCUUUGGAUCACUCAAUCAUGUCUGCAAGGAGGACUUAGCAUACCCGGCCAAAUCAAGUGAGAUCUCAAGACUGGAGGGGGAGGGACAGUCAGGAUCAAUGAUCCAGGUAUAGUCAAGGGGGGCAUUUCUGUCAUUUAGAGCCAUUGAAAACACUUUCAAGGCAUCGUUAGAAGUGGCAGCCAAUGUAAUUGUGAGAAGUAAAGUGAGCUGCUAAAAAUGCCUUCAGGUUAAGUCUUUGUAUUAAAGUCGGAGUCAUAUUUAUCCAAGGAAUGCAGAGCCUGGAGGCCAAAUCUACUGACCAGGAUACUUGGCCACAGUGUACUCAGAGGAGCUAAAAGCUCACAGGGACUUGGCUACUUCUUCACAAUCAGGGUAGGCUCAGAAUAUUCAAGUGUGAAGAAGCAUACAAAAGACUGUCCAGCCCCUUGCCCAUCUCUCUGAGAACAUUAGCUGCUGGGUGAUAAAGCUAUAUUAUCUUCUCCCUCACCUUUCCCAAGAAUCUCCUGGCAAAGUUCAAACCUGAUGCUUUGUGUUAACUCAUUUCCAUGACAACAAAUUGGCCCUCUUUCUUGUCGCCUGGCCUUCAUCACAUGACAGGAAAGGGGCAACGAGCCUCGAUGUAUUUCUACAUGAAGAGCAGGAAUGUGUGCUAACAGGAAAAGUGUGUCUCAUUAACUUUUAUCAAGAGCCAGGGAGAACAAAACAAGAACCGGCAGGCUAGGUUGACAUUUUCCUCCUAGAUACCCAAUUACAACUAAUUCUUCCCCAAAGCAUGGAAGCAAGCAUAAUGUAUUCUAAAACAUAAUUAAUCAUAGGCAAAACUUCUUAGGGAUUAAAAUGAUUCUUAUGGAACAUCUCUCAUAAUGACUUUGUCUUUUGGGUACAGACUGCCCCAGAGAAUUUCCUAGAAAGCCUUAGUCCAGAGUUACG
rnacentral:lncRNA from 1 species